AUGAGAAACUCAACUAAGAAUUCCAGGAUCAACGCCUCCAAGGAAAUUAUUAAGGUCAAAGAGACCAUGUCUUUUAAGAGAAGCGCCUCUCAGAAGGAUGAAAUAAUCAAAUCUUCUGAAGGUGUAAGGACAUUCACUAGAGCAUCAAGGGUAGGAAGAACUUUAGUGAAAGGAAUGAAGAAACCCAAAAAGAUGAAGGAUUCAACUGAUCGAAUACAAUUUGAUUCAAAUACAAAUUAUGAGUGGGAUGUUGAUUGUGGGAACUUCCUCAUGGCACGAGGUUAG